rnacentral:misc_RNA from 1 species
AAUUCUCAACCCCUUCAGCUUUAAUGGCUGUCAAGGUGGCUUGGAUUGUGGGGGGUCGUGCAGGCUGCAUUCGCAGUCAGCUCCUCUGAAAUGCAUUAGCGGAACCGUUUGCGAUCCGUCACCGGUGUGAUAGUUAUUUACGCCAACGACGUAUGAAUGCUCUCUGUUUGUUCAGCUUCUAACUGUCCUGGAUAGGACAAACUUCAAUUGAAC